UCUCUUAUCGUACAAUGGAAAGUACGCAUGAAAAUAGUGUACGGCCGGUAAAGACGAUCUUUCAUGAUAUUUGGGUUCGAAUCCCAGUAAGAGAC